rnacentral:rRNA from 1 species
UACGUAGGGUCCGAGCGUUGUCCGGAAUUAUUGGGCGUAAAGGGCUCGUAGGCGGUCUGUCGCGUCGGUCGUGAAAACUUGGGGCUUAACCCUGAGCUUGCGGUCGAUACGGGCAUGACUGGAGUUCGGCAGGGGAGACUGGAAUUCCUGGUGUAGCGGUGAAAUGCGCAGAUAUCAGGAGGAACACCGGUGGCGAAGGCGGGUCUCUGGGCCGAUACUGACGCUGAGGAGCGAAAGCGUGGGGAGCGAACAGG